AUACGGAGGAUGCAAGCGUUAUCCGGAUUUAUUGGGUUUAAAGGGUGCGUAGGCUGACGUGUAAGUCAGAGGUGAAAUGUCCGGGCUCAACCUGGGAACUGCCUUUGAUACUGCAUGUCUGGAGUUCGGAUGCCGUGGGAGGAAUGGGCAGUGUAGCGGUGAAAUGCAUAGAUAUUGCCAAGAACACCGAUUGCGAAGGCAUCUCACGAAUCCGACACUGACGCUGAGGCACGAAAGCGUGGGGAUCAAACAGGAUUAGAUACCCUGGUAGUCCACGCAGUAAACGAUGAUAACUAACCGUCGGCGAUAGACAGUCGGUGGCCAAGCGAAAGCGAUAAGUUAUCCACCUGGGGAGUACGUUCGCAAGAAUGAAACUUAAAGGAAUUGACGGGG
rnacentral:rRNA from 1 species